rnacentral:rRNA from 1 species
GAUGAACGCUGGCGGCGUGCUUAACACAUGCAAGUCGAACGGACGGACCCUACUUUUGCUUUUCGGUUGUUUGGCGCGCGCGUGAGUGUCACGCGUGUAAACCGCCCCUGUCUGUCGGGUAUAUUUUGGGAAAUGCGGCUAUUACCGCGUAUAAUCUCCUGAUCCACGUUGUGCGUUAGUAAGUUUCGGCGGUUGGGGCUGGUCUCGCGGCUUAUCAGCUUGUUGGUCGGGUUGUGGCUGACCAAGGCUUUGAAGGGUAGCCGGCCUGAGAGGGUGACCGGCGACAUUGGGACUGAGAUACGGCCCAGACUCCUACGGGAGGCAGCAGUGGAGAAUAUUGCAGAAUGGGCGGAAGCCUGAUGCAGCAACGCCGCGUGCGGGAUGACGGCCUUCGGGUUGUAAACCGAUUUCGCCUGUGACGAAGAGUGAGUGACGGUAAUGGGUAAAGAAGCACCGGCUAACUACGUG